CCUACGGGAGGCAGCAGUGAGGAAUAUUGGACAAUGGGCGCAAGCCUGAUCCAGCCAUGCCGCGUGCAGGAAGACGGUCCUAUGGAUUGUAAACUGCUUUUAUACAGGAAGAAACACCUCUACGUGUAGAGACUUGACGGUACUGUAUGAAUAAGCAUCGGCUAACUCCGUGCCAGCAGCCGCGGUAAUACGGAGGAUGCAAGCGUUAUCCGGAAUCAUUGGGUUUAAAGGGUCCGUAGGCGGUUUAAUAAGUCAGUGGUGAAAGCCCAUCGCUCAACGAUGGAACGGCCAUUGAUACUGUUAAACUUGAAUUAUUAGGAAGUAACUAGAAUAUGUAGUGUAGCGGUGAAAUGCUUAGAGAUUACAUGGAAUACCAAUUGCGAAGGCAGGUUACUACUAAUAUAUUGACGCUGAUGGACGAAAGCGUGGGGAGCGAACAGGAUUAGAUACCCUGGUAGUCCACGCCGUAAACGAUGGAUACUAGCUGUUCGGAGCAAUCUGAGUGGNGUAGAGAAGAGAGUAAGUAUACCACCGUACGGGAGGUACGUUACGUCGAAGAAGUAGAAACGUACGAAAGUAGUAAGUUAGUACGGACGUAGAGACGUUAGCGACGGACGACGACGAGGGGAGGUAGG
rnacentral:rRNA from 1 species